AGUAAGGUCAGCUAAAUAAGCUUUUGGGCCCAU
rnacentral:tRNA from 1 species